rnacentral:lncRNA from 10 species
GUAACUCUUCCACUGGGCUUGGGAAGUGGCAUCAAUGAAAAGGGAGUCUGGAGAUUCGAGAAAUUUGGGAAUGGGGAGGGCUGGGUUAAGAGCCAAGCUGGGAGGGAGGGAGGUCAGAGCCCAGGCCUGAGCUGGCAGAAGGCGGGAAUGGAGGCCCCCACAGGAGACCAUCACUCCCCUGUCAUGGUUCCAGACAAAAUACAGGAUGCCCAGCACAGCAUACUAAGGAAACCAAAGCUGCUGCCAACUUUUCUUCCACUCUCAUGUUAGGAGGGAGUUGACUGAGUGAUCAUCAAAAAUGCAGAAAGAACAGAAGCCCAAUAAUACCAGUACUUUAUUUCUCUCUAGAAGACCAUGUCACAGAGUAGUAGUGUUGCAGAAAAAGACCCCAUGAGGCCUAUUCCUGACUUUGUUCUGUGAGCCCUCAGGAAAACCCCAAUUUCUCAGAGCUCUUCAUCCCUCAUGUGUAAAAGGAGACUCCAAGUAGUCUCCAUUGUGCCUACCACAAUGUUUGUGGUGAGGAUCAAAUGAGAUAAUGUGAAACGUUGAUAUGCCCCAGAACUCCACCCUCAACCCUGCUUUUUUAAUAUGUAGUCUCUGUAUGUCAACUUGUCACCAUUAUGAAUGAUGGGCUGCUAAAUGACUGAUCAAUUGUAUUUCCCACUGCCUAAUGGAUGUUCCAGUAUCUUAUGGCUGGUAAAUUAAAAACUGAACCCAUUCAGAACUGCCUCUCAUGCUCAUGAUGCAUCCAGACUGAGCAAGGGUCUUGAACAGUCCCCCCACACCAAGAGUCCUACAUUUCCCACACCAGAUUUCUCCAGGCUUUCAAGGAACAACAUGGACACUUGUUACCUUAAAGACAUCCAGAAUCUUGGAUAGUGCAGGGGCAUCAUCCAUCAGCUCUUGUAAGUGUGUAGACAGUGCAUCUCUACAUACACCAACCACAACCGGCUCAUUCUCAGCAAGGCUCCUUACAACAACAACCAAAAAACCCCAGAAUCCUGUGAAAGCAAUACCUGGACUUGGAGGAUGGACCUGAAAUUCUGUCUCUUGUUUCAUGAAAAAAAAAAAAAAAAAAUCUCUGGAUUUAAGGACAACCAAUAAAAAAACUGGCAGGUUGAGUAAAACUGCAUGUGUUCUCCUACUCUAAUAUAUUCUAUUCCUUGUGAUGAGGAACAAAGCUGAUGCUGAACACAGAAAUCUCGUAGGUGCUUGGAUUCUGACUCUCUAAGUGGUGUAAGCAGGACUACAUUGAGGAAUGACUGUAA